CAAUUUAUAGCUUAACUAAAGCAUCUUGCUUACACCAAGAAAACACCCGUUAAACCCGGAUUAAAUUGA
rnacentral:tRNA from 1 species